rnacentral:rRNA from 1 species
GAUGAACGCUGGCGGCGUGCUUAACACAUGCAAGUCGAACGGUAGAGCAGAGAUUGCUCGGUGUUACGGUUGCCAACGGGUGGGUAACACGUGAGCACCCUGCACCCUACUUUGGCGUAGGCGCUGACGACGGGGAACAAUACCGAAUAUCAGAUGCGACCGCCGGGUCAGAGGAUGGAAAGAUUGUUCGGUCUGCGAUAGACUGAGGGCCUAUCGGCUUGUUUGUGUGGUAGCGGCACGGCCAACCGUCGACAGGUAGCCGGCCUGAGAGGGUGACCGGCCACAAUGGGACUGAGAGACGGCGCAGACUCCAACGGUAGGCAGCAGUGGGGAAUCUGGCACAAUGGGCGAACGCCUGAUGCAGCAACGCCGCGUGAGGGAUGACGGCCUUCUGGUUGUAAACCUCUUUAGGCAGGGAAGAAGCGAUAGUGACGGUACCUGCAGAAAAAGCGCCGGCUAACUACGUG